CUCUCGAUAGCUCAGUUGGUAGAGCAUUAGACUGUAAUGGAAUACAAUUUGUUGCAAUUCAACCAACCUUGCCAUCUAAUGGUCGGGUGUUCGACUCACCCUCGGGAGA
rfam:Candida tropicalis MYA-3404 genomic scaffold supercont3.3, whole genome shotgun sequence.